rnacentral:lncRNA from 1 species
AGAAAUCAUAAAGAAAUAACAAAGAAAUUAAAAAAUAUACUAAAAUAUAAAUCUUAAUAAAAUAUUAAAAAUAGAAACUUUAAUUAAAUCCUAGUCAAAUCUUAACCAAACCCUAAAUAAAUCCUAAUCAAAUCCUAAUAAACCUUAAUCAAAUCCUAAAUCAAUUCUAGUCAAAUUCUAAAUAAAAUCUAAUCAAAUCCUAACCAAAUCCUAAUCAAAUCCUAAAAAAUCCUAAUGAAAUCCUAAACAAAUUUUAACCAAAUCCUAAUCAAAUCCUAAACAAAACCUUA